rnacentral:rRNA from 1 species
GACGUAGGGCGCGAGCGUUGUCCGGAAUUAUUGGGCGUAAAGAGCUCGUAGGCGGUUUGUCGCGUCUGCCGUGAAAGUCCGGGGCUCAACUCCGGAUCUGCGGUGGGUACGGGCAGACUAGAGUGAUGUAGGGGAGACUGGAAUUCCUGGUGUAGCGGUGAAAUGCGCAGAUAUCAGGAGGAACACCGAUGGCGAAGGCAGGGUCUCUGGGCAUUAACUGACGCUGAGGAGCGAAAGCGUGGGGAGCGAACAGG